GCCUGGGUGGCACAGUGGUUGAGCGUCUGCCUUCAGCUCAGGGCGUGAUCCUGGCGUUGUGGGAUCGAGCCCCACAUCAGGCU
rnacentral:tRNA from 1 species